UGCUGGGUUUUUUUUUCUUAGUUAAUUUCAAUAAAAACAAAAUAUUUGUCAACUUCCAUUCGAAUAUUAUUUUUUUUUUUUUAAAUCUAAUGUUAUUUUUAAUUUUCCAAUGAAUUAAAUCUGAUUCAAUCAUGUGAACUACCCCAUUUCUUAAACUAUAUCCCUUUAGGCAUGUUGUUCUUCUCCUUUCACGAUUUAAUGUAUUGUUUUCUGAAUAUUAACACUUUAAAAAUACUUUAAUAUCUCUCCUAUUGAUACAAUAACGUUUUAUCAAUUUUAAAACUUUUUUGUUUAUAGAGGCAUUAAGUGCUAUUGUAAUACAUUGUACAUAGGCACAUUAUAUUU
rnacentral:lncRNA from 1 species